GGCGGAAAUCGGUUAUCGCCGGUUAUAAAACCUGGGGUCGCGUGUUCGAGUCACGCCGGGGACGCCA
rnacentral:tRNA from 1 species